GACGAACGCUGGCGGCGUGCUUAACACAUGCAAGUCGAACGAAGUGGCGAAAGGGUGAGUAACGCGUAAUCAACCUGCCCUUCAGUGGGGGACAACAGUUGGAAACGACUGCUAAUACCGCAUACUGAAGGAGGGGAUGGCGUCGGAUUAGCUAGUUGGAGGGGUAACGGCCCACCAAGGCGAUGAUCAGUAGCUGGUCUGAGAGGAUGAACCGCUAAAUUGGGACUGAGACACGGCCCAGACUCCUACGGGAGGCAGCAGUGGGGAAUCUUCCGCAAUGGACGAAAGUCUGACGGAGCAACGCCGCGUGAGUGAUGACGGGCUUCGGGUUGUAAAGCUCUGUUAAUCGGGACGCGGUACCGGAAUAGAAAGCCACGGCUAACUACGUGCCAGCAGCCGCGGUAAUAC
rnacentral:rRNA from 1 species